rnacentral:rRNA from 1 species
GAUGAACGCUGGCGGCAUGCCUAAUACAUGCAAGUCGAGCGAAUGGAUUAAGAGCUUGCUCUUAUGAAGUUAGCGGCGGACGGGUGAGUAACACGUGGGUAACCUGCCCAUAAGACUGGGAUAACUCCGGGAAACCGGGGCUAAUACCGGAUAACAUUUUGAACCGCAUGGUUCGAAAUUGAAAGGCGGCUUCGGCUGGCACUUAUGGAUGGACCCGCGUCGCAUUAGCUAGUUGGUGAGGUAACGGCUCACCAAGGCAACGAUGCGUAGCCGAACUGAGAGGGUGCUCGGCCACACUGGGACUGAGACACGGCCCAGACUCCUCCGGGAGGCAGCAGUAGGGAAUCUUCUGCAAGGGACGAAAGUCUGACGGAGCAACGCCGCGUGAGGGAUGAAGGCUUUCGGGUCGUAAAACUCUGUUGUUAGGGAAGGACAAGUGCCAGUUGAAUAAGCUGGCACCUUGACGGUACUUAACCAGAAAGCCACGGCUAACUACGUGCCAGCCGCCGCGGUAA